GGCCUACUAGCGCAGUCGGAAGCGUGCCCGUGCCAUCUAUCCAUGGUGGAAGUGACUUACGGGAGAUCCCGGGUUCGAACCCGGGACAGGUCA